CCUUGCUGUUCUUACCUUUCUUCUCAGCUUGCACUGAGGCAUCAGUAAUGUGAGAAAAUUGAAGAAGGAGCUGUGACAAUGACAGGAAAUCAUGCAUCCAGCAACAGAGAACUCAUUGCCCUCCCCAGAUGUGAAGAGGAGACGGCUGAAUAAGAACAGACUCAGUGCUCCCACUUCAUUAUUUUGGAUCUCCCUGGAUGGAACCUUUUCUCCUCACACCUUUGCUCAUUGAUCUCUACCUUCUGGAUCACCAAACUCUCAUCUCCAGGUAUCUGUGCUGUGGCAGAGGUGGCAGCACUGAAAACUGAGACCUGUAAUCCUGUUGGGCACCUCUGGAUGGGGAGAAGUGGCACCACGUGGCUCUGAAUCUCAGCAAUUCAG